GUUGCCUGAGAGUAGAACUGUAUUUGAGAUAUGGAAAUGCCUAUCUUAUAUAUAAAAAGCAUUGUUGUUACCUGGCUGAGCUCCAGUUCCGCUUCCUUGGUGAUUGGGACCAUCCUCCACAUCCUGUGUGGACUGGGGCUCUUCCUCCUGUUCCUUCCCUCCCUCCAGAGGAAUUUGCCCUUACAACCACCUUACAAAAGGAGAAACGUCAGGAAGCGUCAAAUGAAGCUGAGAGGGAGGAGCAGCAGGAGCAGGAAGAAAAAGGGAGCUUUGAAAGCUUAUAGAGCUGGCCGGAAGGACCUGGCAGAAGUGGGGGGCCUGAUGUCCCUUUUGCAAAGCUCCCCGGGGAGGCUGUCUUGUAAGGGAUGCUUCCAUCUCUUGUCAUCUCAAGAUUCCCCUGGGGAGGCAUGCAAGACAGCAUCUGCUAGAGUUCACCAGCCAUGCGGGAAGACUGUGGAAGGUGCUCCUCUCACCAUGAAUCCAGCACUUUCCCUGGCUCUUCUGACCAGCCCACUCUACCUUUGGCCUCCACUCUGCCAGCAGAACCUGCAUCUGCCUUGACCAGAACUCCACUAGGCCCUUUUUCCACGAGCUCAGCUCUAGCUCACUCCUGUUUCCCAUCUACCAACUCAGGCCACAGCCCCACGAGCUGUCGCAUUGCGUUCCUCAGCAAAUCUAUGAAUUAUCCUUUUGUUGGUUUGAGUCAAGGGUGGAGGAAAUGCCCUGUAGAAAGUUCCAACCAUGCCAGGUCUUCGUUUUCUUACUGGACAUGGGCUAGUUUAGGAGCAUCAUGUGAUGGAGCAUAAAGGGUGGACUUUGAGGACAACCGGGUCUGGGGUUGAACGAAAGCUUAGCCAUUCGUGAACUGCCUGAUCUAAGACAUGUUCUUAACCAUUCUGAAUUUCAGUUUCUCAAUCCGGGUAAAGAGAAUAAUAAGAUUUACCAGUAGGAGUUAUAGGACUUAGUUUCUUUUCUGGUUCUCUGAUCUACUCUCUAAUUUUUGCAAGUCAUGUGACCUCUUCAGACCUACCUAUCUUUGAGCGAAAAUGAAGGUCUUAUUGGUUCUCCAAAGGAAUAUGAUUUUGUCCCACCCGGGGGCAUCUGAAAGUGUGUGUGGUGUUUUUUGAUUGUCAUGAAACUAAGGGAAUCAAGAACGUAAAGUGCUCUGUAAGGGGGAGGACAGUCCCAUACAACAGAGAAUUGUUCCAUCAGAAAAUCAACGUAGCCCUGUUGUGAAACCCAAUUAGAACAUCUCUGAAGUCUUUGUCACCUUAACAUUUCAUCAUUUUACUCUAUGUCAUUGUUUCCUUACAAUUAUGAUGGAUGAACUAGAUAACUAAAUGCUAUGAGCCACCCUGCCACACAUGAGCAUGUUUAUCAAAAUGAAGGAUGGUGGAAUAAAGAACUGGCUUUUUUUGGGUUGGAGUAAAGGGCUCAAGGCAAGUCUCAGAGCGUGUGAGACAGAAGCUUCCCUGGAAAUAUUUCCUAAAGUGCUCACUAUGGAAAGUAAAGGAAACCUAUAUUUCAUGAGCAGAGUUGCAGGUAAUCUGACAUGGGUUAUCCCACUAAUCCACAUAGCAAUUCUAUGUGAUGUGUCCUAUUUUCCUCAUUUUACAGAUGAAAUCUACUCAUAGCUCCAGCGAUUUUUUUUUCCAAUCUGGGUGACUUGAAUUGUGUGUGUGUGUGUAUUUCAAAAGACAUGGAAAAGUACAACAUAGAGAAUAGAUUAAAAUGCUACACAUUGUUCUGGGUGCCCCCAAUCUGCCUUUAUGUCACAGGGCCCAGCACCCCUCACCACCACAUGUGGGUUCUGAACACCUCCACUUGUCAGCAUCCAGACCUAACUGACCUGAGGCCUUGGAGAAAAGAGAACAUCUUUCCUCUGCCUCUGCUAAGAGCCACAUCUUAUGCUCCCACCUCCUUCCCCGGGACUGACCUCUUUCCAGGACGACUGGUGGUCAGACUGUCCAUUCCUUUUAGGGGAAACUCCAACCUCCACCUCCCAGGAGUGUAGUUUUGUUCUUUAGCCCCAAAAGAUGUCAGAACACAUUUCUAUAUCAGCAGGUUUUCCAAGUAAGUUAUUCAAUCUUUAAUAACACCAUGUGGGGUCAGCCACAAUCCCAUCCAUGUCCCUUUGCUCCAAGCAAAGUUCCUUGGCUCUGUCUCUGCUCCAGCAUAAGGAAAGAGAAGAUUUGGGAUCUCUUUGGGAUCUCUGCUCCUGACCUGGGAGCAAUAAUACAUAUUGUUCCAGUGUUUGGAGCAGUGACAUGCAAAACAUCAUGGCCCAGAUGUGGACUUAGAAAAGCCCCACUGAAACAAAGAUAAUGGGUGGUAAGACAGCUCUGCCCACAGUGAUGGUCCUUGUGUACAUAAUUAGACAAAUGGUUCAGUUUAUAACUCUCCAUUCCAGAAGAGGGUCUUCACUUCACCUUUCUUUACUAAAGCCUGUUGUGCCUAGUUCCCCCAGAACAAAGGAACAGCCAACUCAACAAAUUAAAACUCAGGAGACUGAAAACAACAAGUUUUUCGAGUUUCAGCUCACCAAGUGUUCAAAUUUUGGAGUAUAAUAUCAGUCAAGAUCAUUUGUUACAAUCCCACAAACACACACUGAUUGCCUGUUAAGUGCCAGGUACAAUGCCAAGUCUUAAAAGACAAAAAUAAUUAUGAAAAAAGGACUCCGGACUCAGGAAUAAACAUGUAUAGAAACUAAGUCACAAGAUCUUGAACAACCCACUCUAGCAACAAACCUUUACUGCUAUAUACCUCUUUGUCAAGCCCAAGAGUGCUGAUCCCAGUAAACCCAAGCCAUCCCUGAUAGGCAUACUUAGAAAAAGAGGAAUGGGGUGGAAAUGGGAUAGUUGAAAAUAGAAAAUGGAGGUAAAUCGUAGAGCAUUUCUGCAAUGAAGCCUCAGGAAGAUAAAGGAAGCUGAGAGAAGGCUACUUCCUUAGGAUUGUACUCUGGGAUCGUACAGAAGCAAGGGACUGAGACAUCCAUAAGAAGGCUUGACAGCCAGGGCUGAGCAGAGACACAAGGCGCCCUGGGAAGGCCGACAGUGUAGCACUUCUUCAGACCAAUGUUACUUUUAAAAAUGUCUCAACAUGUAUUUAGUGAAGUUAGGGUUAGGGGCUUUUUAUUAGUGAAAGUGCAUAUAAUUCCUCCUCCUCCUCAAACUCCUCCUCCUGCUCUUUCUUCUGCUUUCCUUGUCAAAUAAUUCAGUCCUAAAGCUAUCUGGUGAGGCAGCACAAGGUAGGCUUCCUCACUAUUGGGGGGAAGAGCCAUAAUAGCCCCAAGCAGGGUAUCAGAGCUCACAAGGAGAACACAGUGUCACACAUGGGGACAGCCCAGUAGGACACAUCAGGGCUCUAGCAUGAGGAGGAGGGCCCCCCCACAGGGGAGGCCCCAGGUAGGGCGUUGGGGCAAGGGUGAGAGGAUGUCUUUGUGGAAAGACAGCCUGGCAAGGGCUGUCGGCACUCUGGGACUAAGGAGGGCAUCUGGGCAGAGGAAAGGAUGGCAGCAGAGAUGCUAGAUUGGUUACAUACAAGAGGGUUGAUCAAAAGAGGCAAUAAAAUAAAGAUAAUGGAGCCAGGCUUCUCAUGCAGAAGAGAGGUACACAUACGGGAAGGAAUGCCUGAACACUAUAGUGAUGGAUUGGUAUUGGAAGUAUUGGUGUGAAGUCAUGGUUCUCAAUAGAUAUAGGUAGAGAAAUAUAGACAUAAGUGUGUUUGUAUACAUACAUAUAUCAAGAGGGAGAGAAUCCAUCCACCAAAAAGGCCUGGGAGCAACAAUACCCCAGUAACAAUGAGCACACAUGGCACCCAGAUCUUGAGUCCUAAACACCAUUCUCCACUCAAAGGAACCAGGGCUCCUUGAGAGGAAAUGACUGACUCCACCCUGGGGCAGGGAAUGUAAAGAUGAGCUUGGACCAUGUUAUGCGAGAAAACAAGAAGUGCUCACAGAGUGAGGGACAUGCCAAAAGGACACAGAAGCCAGCCUGAAUGGGGGCCAAAAACAAGAACAAUUUAUCAAGAUAAAUUAUGGUAGUAAUCGAUUAUUACCCAAACACACGAGCCCAUAUUCAUAUUGAGAAAACAAUCAAUAAAUUGUAAGAUGAAGAUGCGCACAUAGUUUCAGAGUCUCUCCCCACAAAAUACUUUCUAAUUACAAAGGGGAAAAGACAAGCUUCAGAGGUGAAAAAGUUCUCUGUGCUGUA
ensembl:lncRNA